rnacentral:rRNA from 1 species
AGCAGCCGCGGUAAUUCCAGCUCCAAUGGCGUAUAUUAAAGUUGCUGCAGUUAAAAAGCUCGUAGCUGAAUUUCGGGGUCAAUAUGUUGGUCGUGCCUUGGUACGUACUAGCUUAUUGAUUUCUCCUUUCUGACGAACCAUGAUGUCAUUAAUUUGGUGUCAUGGGGAAUCAGGACUGUUACUUUGAAAAAAUUAGAGUGUUUAAAGCAGGCUCGCGCUUGAAUACAUUAGCAUGGAAUAAUGAAAUAGGACAUUUGAUUCUAUUUUGUUGGUUUCUAGGAUCGAUGUAAUGAUUAAUAGGGAUAGUUGGGGGCACUAGUAUUCAAUUGUCAGAGGUGAAAUUCUUGGAUUUAUUGAAGACUAACUACUGCGAAAGCAUUUGCCAAGGAUGUUUUCAUUAAUCAAAACGAAAGUUAGGGGAUCGAAGACGAUCAGAUACCGUCGUAGUCUUAACCAUAAACUAUGCCGACUAGGGAUCGGAUGAUGUUAAUUUUUUCAAUGACUCAUUCGGCGCCUUACG